AAGUAGGAUUCUCCUUCCUUCUAGGAUUGAUUCGUCUCAUAAAAUCCUGACUUGGCUGAUAUCUGAAAUCUUCACAAUCGAAAUCUAUAAUUGAUUCGAACUCCUUCCUUGCGAGGAUUCCUCAGUCGAUAUUGUUGCCUAAACUUGGCCGAACACUUUUAAUUCUCAUUUCGGCCCACAUGCGUAACCACCCUUUUGAACUCAGAUUAAACCAAACAUAUGGCUGCAUGGUCCAACUCACUGAUUUUUGGGUCUUCCGUUCCUAAAACCUCAUAUCAAGCUGGGUGACCGACCGACACUUUUCCCUCGGUUGUAUGACUUCACUUUUCCCUUGGUCGUCCGUUCCUAAAACCUCAAAUCAAGCUGGGUGACCGACCGACACUUUUCCCUCGGUUGUAUGACUUCACUUUUCCCUCGGUCGUCCGUUCCUAAAACCUCAAAUCAAGCUGGGUGACCGACCGACACUUUUCCCUCGGUUGUAUGACUUCACUUUUCCCUCGGUCGUCCGUUCCUAAAACCUCAAAUCAAGCUGGGUGACUGACUGACACUUUUCCCUCGGUUGUAUGACUUCACUUUUCCCUCGGUCGUCCGUUCCUAAAACCUCAAAUCAAGCUGGGUGACCGACCGAUACUUUUCCCUUGGUUGUAUGACUUCACGAACUAUUUAUCUUGAAUGGUUGCCAACUCAGUCCCAUUUCUUCUCAACAUGGUCGUACACGAGAGUAGCUAAAUUCAGGUCCAAACAUUGCCCCCCCAGUCUCAUAAGCAUUGGCUCUCAAGCCAAGUGGUUAUGAGACUUGAAUAAAAAUGGAAUAUCUCAAAAAUACCUGGUCGUGAUAGUUCAAUUUGGUUGUGCAACUUGAAUCACAAAACUCGGCCUUGACAUGCAAAACUUGAAAAACUUGGCCGAUACACCCCAAGUUUGAAAGCACGGUCAUAUUAUCUUGGGGAAGAAAAACAACCUGACCGAGACUUACUACUCGGUCAAGGCUACUACUCGGCCAAGGCCUACUACUCGGUCGAGACAACCUACUCGGUCGAGACAGCCUCUUCGGUUGAGAUUGCUUACUCGGUCAAGGCUUUCUACUCAGCCAAGGCUUUCUACACGGCCAUUUCCUAUGAUAUUUCCAAAACUCGGCCGAGAUGUCUUGAGUGAAAUUCAGUCAAACAUUUUUUUUUUUCACUGAUAACCUCGGUCAGGUGGUACACAACUUGUGAGCUUGGUCGUAAGGACCAACACUGAACCCUUGGCUGUGGCAUUUAAAAUGGGCCGAGAUAUUCCUAGGCAAGGCCUUUCUUUGAAAAGAACACGAAACGCCCAGAUCCGAAACCAAAAAUUUCUCUCUCAAAAAUUCGUCCACGCUUUCGCAGUCUAGAUUCUUUGAAACUUUUGUGGAGAUUCAUGACUUGUCCCGAUUCGGGUACCCAACCCGAGAGUUGAGCAUGAUGCCGGCAAACUGUGGAGGAUUCAACUGGGACUGCAGAGGAUCGAUCUGACACCGGCGAGUUUCGAGGCGGGUCACUGGCCCGAAUCUGGGGUCGGCGGGCUGCAGAGUGGGUUGUUGCGGCCUGGGUACCACGUAGGCGAGCUGCAAGGCGGGUCAUGGUGGAAGAAGGAGUCUGGAUCAGCUUCAAAUUAUUCACAAUUCCCCCUAGUCUCAUGAGCAUCGACCCUCAAGCAGAGUGGUUAUGAGAUUCGAAUCAAAGUGAUCAAGCAUUCCAGUCUAUUAUCUGGCGCUAGUUAUGUGACCGAUGAAUAUCUUUUAAAAAAAAUACCUUGGUCGAGUGGCCGAAGAUUCAGCCGUGCUACUUUGCUAACUCGCCAGACACAAACAAUUGGCCGAGCCUAAAAUUGAAAAUUUUGGCCAUGUCAGCUUACUGAAAAAGCCUGAUCGAGGUGUCCAUUUGCUUUGGCCAAGGCUUUAGGCUUGGUUGAGUCCACAUCUUUGGGUCAAGAUUGGCCGAGUUUAGGUAGUCUUUAACUUUGGUUGAGCCAUUGUUUUUCGGCCGGGGUUGUUUCUAGGCUUGGCUGUGUUGGCCCGCAAAUCAACUUGGUGGAGUAACAACCAAACUGUUAAACCUUGGUCAUAUGUAGAAUGCCUGACUAAUUAUUCUCCCUUCUUGACAGAGAUGGCUGUAUUGAUCACUCUUUGCCUCCUUAUGAGAGUUCCAUGGUUGAGAUUGACAUGGAUGUAAGCCUCCCACAUUCCCUUCCUUGGAUUUCAUUGCUUGCUUGGCUGAGAUUGUUGACUCUUUCUUUUUACAGGAUUCGCCGAUUUGGGUGGGACUCAUCUUCCUAAUACCUAGGGCAUCGGCCAACAACUUACAGUCUCAACCAACUGUUCCAAGGAAACUGAAGAUAUCAAUGUGCUCGGCCAAGAAGUACUGCUUAACCAUCACCCACUUGUUAGAGAAUCUCGCAGUAGUACGACCCUGGAGUUGGCUCUUCUCAACCAAACUAAAGCAAAUCCCCCUAUGUUCGGAACGCUCACUUCUCUUCCUAUCAAAGGGAUGUCCACAAGUGAGCAAGCUACAGUUUGGAAUCCAUCAUCAGCCGAGCUUGUGACUGUACGUCGGGCGAUCUCGGUUUAGAGCUACUUCAAUUUCUAGAUGCUUAAGACCACACCGUGAGCCCCGUAGAGGAAAAGCAUUUCUCUCAGGUAGAGGCUUAUGAGGUUCAUGCUCGUUCGGCUGUUGUAAGUUUUAGCCUCUCUCCUUGCCUAGAAGCCCGAAAGGAGUUUGAAGCCGGUGAGAAAUGAGAAGUGAGGAUGAUGAAAUCCGCAAGCACACAAAUUUUGACUAGAUUCGUAAACUGAAGACUUCUUUGGUUGUGGGGAAGCAUAAGGUGAAUGUUCUGAAGGUGAAGAUGGAUGAUCUAAAGGGGUAAUUAGCCGUAGCUGAAGAACAAAUUGAAACUAUCUCAAACUCCAUCCGAAACAUGACCUCGCCAUGCGUAUUUCUACUGUGUCCUCAGCCAAGUCUUGUGACAAUAAGAGAGACUUCUUGAAGCGGAAAGUUAAUCGCGGCAUGCAAGGCUUGGAAAAUGAUAGAGAAGCUAUUGAGUUUUGAUAUUUUACUCAGCCGUUUGGCUCAUUUGUAGUGUCUAACUAUAUUUAUGUGUAUGGUCUUGGUUGACUCGGCCGUUAAUUUUGUAAAGUGACUUAGCCGCUCUCUUUAUACA